ACGGGGUGCAGCAGGCGCGAAACCUUUGCAAUGUGCGAAAGCACGACAAGGUUAAUCCGAGUGUCUCCUGCUAAAGGAGUCUUUUGUCAGUUGUAGAAUCACUGAUGAAUAAGGGGUGGGCAAGUUCUGGUGUCAGCCGCCGCGGUAAAACCAGCACCUCGAGUGGUCAGGAGGUUUAUUGGGCCUAAAGCAUCCGUAGCCGGUUGCAUAAGUUUUCGGUUAAAUCUAUGCGCUCAACGUAUAGGCCGCCGAAAAUACUGUGCAGCUAGGGAGUGGGAGAGGUACACGGUACUCAAUAGGAAGGGGUAAAAUCCUUUGAUCUAUUGAUGACCACCUGUGGCGAAGGCGGUGUACCAGAACACGUUCGACGGUGAGGGAUGAAAGCUGGGGGAGCAAACCGGAUUAGAUACCCGGGUAGUCCCAGCUGUAAACGAUGCAGACUCGGUGAUGCAUUGGCUUGUGGCCAAUGCAGUGCCGCAGGGAAGCCGUUAAGUCUGCCGCCUGGGAAGUACGUACGCAAGUAUGAAACUUAAAGGAAUUGGCGGGCGAGCAC
rnacentral:rRNA from 2 species